CUAGUUUGUUGGAUUAUUUUUAGUGUCAUUAUAGUGUUGUAUCUAAUAGACAAAUGCAAAAAUAUUAUGGCUAGCCAUGAUCCUAGUGACAUCGUAUAUGCCGUAACAGUUAAAUCAGCUAAAGAUAUAUGUAAAAAAAUCACAACUUUUAAUGCAGUAUGUCAGCAAAACGAAACAACAAUAAUAUUGUCUGCAAAUCCAUGUUUAACUUUAGAGCAUUUUACUCCUAUAACUAUUUCAAUAUACAAUCAAGGAAAUCAAAUGUUCUUAUUUUCAAAAGUUGAGAAAAAUAAAGAAUAUUAUUCAUUAGGCAAUAUAACAGUUGCACUUGAAUGGGAUUGGAAUGUCAACACAAUCAACAUUAAUGUUAUGCACAAACUUCAUUUAAUGGCAAAACUUUAUUAUGUUAUAAAGCAAUCUGGGAAGAAUAUUUCAGAGAAGAUAUUUGAGGUUGAUUUUCCGUUUUUCAAUUACCAGUGCACCUUUGAUCUCCAUACUCAUGAAUUAUUACCACCAACCAUUUGCAACAAAACCCUUAAAGUUGGCCAGUAUGCAUAUGCAUGUUUGAUAUCAAAAGAAUUGGUUUCUUAUGAAUAUCAACCAAAAAAUGGUCUCUACUUAAUUAUGUUUGAUUCUUGCACAGUACCUUACUCUGUCACAAUUCUAGUAAUUUAUCAAAACACAAAAGAAUUGUUUACGAAGAUUUUUACUCAAGAUAAAACUGAUGCUCCAUUUAGUCCAUCUCUUGAAGGGUGUGGGCUGAAAUUUAAAAUGAAUGAUAAUUAUAUGGAUUUUUACACUACAACUUUAAAGUUUGUUUGUACAAAUGGUACGGAAGUAACUCUAAUUGAAUGUGGUUUUCAAACAGAGCUUUCUCUAAAUUGUCCUUUAACGAGUUGUACCAAUCAAGAUUAUACAAAUAUAUGUCAAGACAAAUGGAUAUUUGGAGAGAAUCAGCAGGUAUCAGCCUUUAUGAAUGUCACUAUUGAUAUGUGUGAAGAUCUUCCUCAAGUUACUCUAAAUAUGUAUGUUGUUAGUUCUAAAAUGUAUAGCUAUCCAUUUUCUCAAGUUCUAUACGCAAACCUGGAUGAAUAUGAAAGAAGUCAUUCUCCUCCUUUCUAUCUUGGCCUCCCGAUAGAUAAAAAAUUAUCAACAAACAAUGGUUACUUAAGUUUAGAUGGAGGAAACAUAAGUUUGCAUUUUCGAGAAAGUAUAGGAUCAUUCAAAUUUUCAGAUAUUGCGUCAUUUCCCAAGACCUUAUGACGGAAUUCCUUUGCUUCGUACAGAUUUUGAAUUAAACAGAACAAAAAGUUGUUUGUGUAAAACGUCAAAAAAUAAAAACAGUGGUUCGAUGGAAGUUGCACUUGCUGUCCUGGUUUUCAUCACGUUUUUAUUAUUUUUUUUCGCUUUAAUUGCUUUUUGGAGAAAGCGUAGUCGGCGUAAAAAGUUAGGGCUGCCUCAUUUAAUAAUAACAGAAGAAACACCGGAAGAAAUGGAUGAUCAAAGCAUGUAGUAAUUUUUUUUUUGAUUGAUUUGAUUUGUGUA
rnacentral:misc_RNA from 1 species